rnacentral:lncRNA from 1 species
CCCAGUAACUUUUUGACCAAAGAAAAGCAGUUUUCAAAAGAUUGUUUAUGAAAGGAAUAAGGGCAAAUACAGAAUUCGUUUUAAUGUUCAUUUUCUGAAGAACGUUUUUCAUGACAAACAGCUGAGCUGCAACACUGCAGAGGUGUUUGGUUGUGGACACUAACUUUGCGGGUCUUGGAAAAAAAAAAAAAAGAUGAGUGGAAAAUGCUUCCUGAGUUGCCAGGCACGGAUGGGACUGCCGUAGGACUCAGAUAACUGGUUGUAACUGCUGGCAUCACCUCUUGCACGUGCAGGCUUGCACACACAGCAGCAAACAACGUGCACAUCGCUGCUGAUGUCCCAGUAACAGGCUCAUACGGCGUGGUGACACCGGGCUCUUAGCUAGGAUGGCUGAUGCGGGGACAAGGGGCAGGCGGGGACGGGUCGCGGUGCCGUGUGUAGGUACACGCAAGAAAUGCGUGAGGUCUGGUUGCAGCCUCAGUUCAUUUUGUCCCUGUCUGACCCAGCUUCGGGUGUGAUUAUCCUCGGUGUGUUACAGCCCGGGCAGGCGGGGUGGGUAAGGCAUUCUCCCUGUCCGUCUCGCUGCUGCGGCAGGUUCCCCGUCCUGAUGCUUUGUCUCUCCAGUUGGGGAGCGCAGGGGAAGGUUAAUGAAUCUUAAACGGUCUGCAAGCGGCACCGUGUAGCUCCAAGCAAGCAACCUGUAGUCUGAUCGGGGUCUUCCUGCAGGAGCUUGCUCUCACCCAGGCCUCCAGCCCCUGCAGUUCCGCGCAGGGUUGCGCACCCCACUGCAGUGCUAGGAGUGCAUGGGGCAGGGUUUAGGACAGAGCCUAGGACCAUCCUCGACUUUCUCCCAGGAUCAGAUCCGGCAUGGAAAGAGCGUCGUUAUGGGCCCAUGAGACUUCUUGCUCGGGUUACCGAGUCCCUGCUGAAGCCGAAGGGGAUGGAUGCUGUUCGCCCCAGCCUGAGAAGCAGCGGGGAGGAGGUUUAUUACAGAGUAUGAAAAGCAGGAAGCUUUCUGCUCACUUCAUACAUCUCCUCCGCAGAGCCAGCCAUCAGAAGCCAGCACAGACUCCAGACUGAUUAUUGUUACACAUGAUCUAUGGAGCAGAUAAAUUACAGCUUGAUUUUUAUAAGGUAUGUUGAGCCUGCAGGCUUCAGCAGAAACAAAAACAAAACAAAACACAAAACCUUGCUUUAACUAGUAAUUUGAGGGAAUAUGACAAACCUGACAUGGAAGUCACAGAGCAAAUAAAUAUGCACAUCCAUCAUUUUGUAAAAUAAUG